UUUCAUUCAGAUGUUUAUUUAUUUGUUUUAUUAUUCUAGUAAUUAAGGUAGGAGAGCUCAGAAAGGGACACAAUCUCGUGGCCACUGCUGUGCAGUGCAGCGACUCUCAUCCUUCAGGGAUUGACUCCGCAGCGGAUGGCUGCUGUUGCUUUGAACUCAAUUAAAUUCUUUCUCGAAGCUCAUCUCUUGCACGAUGACUCAAUCUCAAGAUCCGAUUAUCCAAAAUAAAAAGGAGACUGUGCAUUAUUUUUUCUAAUAGUUGACGCCAUCUCCAGAAGUUUAUUUGCGAUCUCCUCAAUUGCUUCCGCUUCCGCAGGCCCAGUUCCACUUCCGACAUCCUUUGGUAAUUUCUCCAAUACCUCCUUGAAGUAAGUACUAAUGAAGGGAAUGUAGACGUUUAAUUGGUACCCAACCUUGCAAAUCUUUGAUACUCCGUGGACCAGAAAUUCGAAGCCAAAUGUGUCACCUGCCCUUCGAAUUAUUGGUAGAUAUUUUCUGAGGUAUUUUUUCAGUGCUUCCUUGACAUGAUUGGCUUCCUGUGCCUGGGCCUCGGAGGCAAGUCCUCCAUCUACAAGCACAUACUCAUCGUAUAUUUCAUGUAGAAGUGAGUUACUUGAUUCCACAAAUUCAUAAGAAAAAGGUCGAUGGGGGUCCUCAGAGGCAUCUUCUUCAUCAAUUAUCAUGUACUCUUCAUCAAUUUGUUUCAAAAAAGGUGCUGGAGAUUGGUGAGAUGGGCAAGAAUUGCUUCCCAGUACAGGGUUUGAGCAAUUAGUAAGAAGGAGAUUUUUGUCAGAAUGUGUUGGAGGCCGAAAACAACGUGAAGAGCUUGAUAGAGGGGGGUCUGUAGGAAUCUGUGGUGUAAGAACCAAUGCUUGUAGAGUCUGAUCUUGUUCUUUAAGAAAUAAAGGGGAGGUUGAAGAAGAUGGUGGGGUUCUGUGAGAAGAGGGAGAAGAUAGAGGGGUUCUUGAAAAUUCGCUUGAUGAUGGGGGUUUUGCGGGAAGCGUAGGUCCAGGGAGAGAGUGGUUAAACUGUCGAGCUUCUUGUUCUUGAAGAAUUGAUGAGGAUGGUGGGUCUGAGAUCACCAUUGAAAGUAAAAGAAUAGAGAGAAAGGAUUGACAAGUUGAGAAUGCUGUAGCUUUGGAAUUUGCCAUUGCCAUGAAGGUGAACUUCUAAGUAAUACAAUGUGUGAGUUCGUUUCAAGAUGAAGAUGAAGAUGAGAAAUAGAAGAAGCUGAAGAUGAACCAGGUGCAAUAAGCAGCAGCAAGCAGGUGUCUGUUAUAUAACAAACUCGACUGCCCGCGCGUGCUUAUAUAUUGGCGGGAUGGGCUGGAGAUAAUAUAACUAAAUAUUUGCAAUUUCUUUUUUUUUUUUUGAAGAGACCAUUAUGUUGCCUCCUGUUAAUUAAUGUAUUUAUUCUUCUUGUCA